rnacentral:rRNA from 1 species
AUGCUGACAUGAGUAACGUAAGGGGUGUGAGAGACACCCCCGCCGAAAGUCCAAGGGUUCCUGCUUAAAGCUAAUCUGAGCAGGGUUAGCCGGUCCCUAAGGCGAGGCCGAAAGGCGUAGUCGAUGGGAAUCACGUUAAUAUUCGUGAGCCUGCGGGUAGUGACGGAUCGAGUAAGUUGUCCAAUCUUAUCGGAUUGAACGGGCAGCGAAUCGGUUCCAGGAAAUAGCUCCCACUUAUAGUCCGUACCCGAAACCGACACUGGUGGACUGGUAGAGAAUACCAAGGCCUUGAGAGAACUAUGCUGAAGGAACUCGGCAAAUUGCACGCGUAACUUCGGGAUAAGCGUGACCCUUCUGUACGCAAGUGCAGGGGGGUGGCACAGACCAGGGGGUAGCGACUGUUUAUCAAAAACACAGGGCUCUGCGAAGUCGCAAGACGACGUAUAGGGUCUGACGCCUGCCCGGUGCUGGAAGGUUAAGAGGAGAGGUGCAAGCUUUGAAUCGAAGCCCCAGUAAACGGCGGCCGUAACGAUAACGGACCUAAGGUAGCGAAAUUCCUUGUCGGGUAAGUUCCGACCUGCACGAAUGGCGUAACGACUUCCCCGCUGUCUCCAGCAUAGACUCAGUGAAAUUGAAUUCCCCGUGAAGAUGCGGGGUUCCUGCGGUUAGACGGAAAGACCCCGUGCACCUUUACUAUAGCUUUACAUUGGCAUUCGUAGUGGCAUGUGUAGGAUAGGUGGUAGGCUUUGAAGCUUGGACGCCAGUUCGAGUGGAGCCACCCUUGAAAUACCACCCUUAUCUCUAUGGAUGUCUAACCGCGGCCCGUCAUCCGGGUCCGGGACAAUGUAUGGUGGGUAGUUUGACUGGGGCGGUCGCCUCCUAAAGAGUAACGGAGGCGCGCGAUGGUGGGCUCAGAACGGUCGGAAAUCGUUCGCUGAGUGCAAUGGCAUAAGCCUGCCUGACUGCGAGACUGACAAGUCGAGCAGAGACGAAAGUCGGUCAUAGUGAUCCGGUGGUCCCGCGUGGAAGGGCCAUCGCUCAACGGAUAAAAGGUACGCCGGGGAUAACAGGCUGAUGACCCCCAAGAGUCCAUAUCGACGGGGUUGUUUGGCACCUCGAUGUCGACUCAUCGCAUCCUGGGGCUGGAGCAGGUCCCAAGGGUAUGGCUGUUCGCCAUUUAAAGCGGUACGUGAGUUGGGUUCAGAACGUCGUGAGACAGUUCGGUCCCUAUCUGCCGUGGGUGUAGGAAUAUUGAGAGGAUCUGUCCCUAGUACGAGAGGACCGGGAUGGACGUAUCUCUGGUGGACCUGUUGUGGCGCCAGCCGCAUAGCAGGGUAGCUAUAUACGGACGGGAUAACCGCUGAAGGCAUCUAAGCGGGAAACCCACCUCAAAACGAGUAUUCCCUGAGAGUCGUGGUAGACGACCACGUUGAUAGGCCGGGUGUGGAAGAGCGGCAACGCUUGAAGCUUACCGGUACUAAUAGCACA